UCAGCUCACACGUUUCUGCUCCGUCGAAUGAUCCCAUGGUUACAUCAAAUUUGUCGUUUGAAUUUUUCUUCUCCCAUGGUUUGCCAUCCCAAAAUAAUAGCGACUGUUUUGUAUGUAGGAUGAUGUCGCGUUAUUUUGUAUGUAGGAUGAUGUCGCGCAAUUCAUUAACAACUGUCUAAUGAAAGCGUCACUUGCAUGUUCAGUAAUAUUACCUACAAAAACUGUUACUAUUGGCUUGUCACUGUUUGGAGGUCUGUAGUUCUGUUGAUAAUUUCUUUUGUCAUAAUAAUCAUUGUGCUUCUUGGCAAAAUGUGGACGGUGA